GAACUAGACAUGCAAAACGGUCUCAAAUUGAUGCUGCCAAGUUCUUGUUAGUGCAGGGACCAAACUGCGAACCUGCAGGGACUGGAUUGCGAACCUGCAGGGACUGAUCUGUGAACUGUUAGACUGCAAUGCAGUUUUCAAUUUUUGAAGGGCUAAGUAAGGAAAAGCUGAGAAGUGAAGUACCAGCUUGGGAAAACCUGGUGGGCUGAAGAAGAAAUUUGAUCCCAGCAAUAAACCUCUGCUGAUUGGAGUUACUACAAGACCUGGAAAGCAUAUAAUCAAGUUCAUGGUGCUGCCGAAAUGCAAAGUGGAUUAAUUGAUGCUGCAAGCAAGUUUAUUCAGCAUCAAAUUAAAAUUGGAGCUGAAAGAGAAUUGAUCCAUAAAAGGAUUCAUUGCUGCUGAAAUUUUAGAUUGCAAAUGGAGAUUUGAGGCUUUUGAGAUAGUAAAAGCUGAAUAGAAUUGAAGAAGUACUAAAUCAAGGGGGCUGCACAAGGAGAAGAAGUAGUGCUGAAAUUCUGCACAUAGUGCAGAAUUUCAGCCUUAGAGAUUCCUGCUGUGGAGCUUCUUUGGUAAUUCAAGCUGCAACAAAUUUGGAGCUUGGAAUUUAGUAAGCUGUAAAGGAGAGGGUGUGGUGCUGGAAUUUCAGCACUACGCAAAAUUUCAGCAUGAAACAGAUUUUAGUAAAAGCU